rnacentral:rRNA from 1 species
GACGAACGCUGGCGGCGUGCUUAACACAUGCAAGUCGAACGGAAAGGCCCUGCUUUUGUGGGGUGCUCGAGUGGCGAACGGGUGAGUAACACGUGAGUAACCUGCCCUUGACUUUGGGAUAACUUCAGGAAACUGGGGCUAAUACCGGAUAGGAGCUCCUGCUGCAUGGUGGGGGUUGGAAAGUUUCGGCGGUUGGGGAUGGACUCGCGGCUUAUCAGCUUGUUGGUGGGGUAGUGGCUUACCAAGGCUUUGACGGGUAGCCGGCCUGAGAGGGUGACCGGCCACAUUGGGACUGAGAUACGGCCCAGACUCCUACGGGAGGCAGCAGUGGGGAAUAUUGCACAAUGGUCGGAAGCCGGAUGCAGCAACGCCGCGUGCGGGAUGACGGCCUUCGGGUUGUAAACCGCUUUCGCCUGUGACGAAGCGUGAGUGACGGUAAUGGGUAAAGAAGCACCGGCUAACUACGUG